rnacentral:tRNA from 1 species
GCCCGGGUGGCGGAACUGGUAGACGCAAGGGACUUAAAAUCCCUCGGGAGUUUAUCCCGUGCCGGUUCGAUUCCGGCCUCGGGCA